rnacentral:rRNA from 1 species
ACUCAAAUGAAUUGACGGGGGCCCGCACAAGCAGCGGAGCGUGUGGUUUAAUUCGAGGGUACGCGAAGAACCUUACCUGGGUUUGACAUACUAGUGGUACUGAGAUGAAAGUCAAGGGACUCUUCGGAGAGCUAGUACAGGUGCUGCAUGGUUGUCGUCAGCUCGUGCCGUGAGGUGUUCGGUUAAGUCCGCAAACGAGCGCAACCCUUAUUGCCAGUUACAAGUGUCUGGCGAGACUGCCCGUGGCAAACGGGAGGAAGGUGGGGAUGACGUCAAAUCAGCAUGGCCUUUAUAUCCAGGGCUACACACACGCUACAAUGGCGCGUACAAUGCGUAGCGAAGCCGCGAGGUGGAGCCAAUCGCGAAAGCGCGUCUCAGUUCAGAUUGUAGGCUGCAACUCGCCUGCAUGAAGUCGGAGUUGCUAGUAACCGUGUAUCAGCACGGCACGGUGAAUACGUUCCCGGGCCUUGCACACACCGCCCGU